rnacentral:rRNA from 1 species
GACGAACGCUGGCGGCGUGCUUAACACAUGCAAGUCGAACGGAAAGGCCCUGCUUUUGUGGGGUGCUCGAGUGGCGAACGGGUGAGUAACACGUGAGUAACCUGCCAUUGACUUUGGGAUAACUUCAGGAAACUGGGGCUAAUACCGGAUAGGAGCUCCUGCUGCAUGGUGGGGGUUGGAAAGUUUCGGCGGUUGGGGAUGGACUCGCGGCUUAUCAGCUUGUUGGUGGGGUAGUGGCUUACCAAGGCUUUGACGGGUAGCCGGCCUGAGAGGGUGACCGGCCACAUUGGGUCUGAGAUACGGCCCAGACUCCUACGGGAGGCAGCAGUGGGUAAUAUUGCACAAUGGGCGGAAGCCUGAUGCAGCAACGCCGCGUGCGGGAUGACGGCCUUCGGGUGGUAAACCGCUUUCGCCUGUGACGAAGCGUGAGUGACGGUAAUGGGUAAAGAAGCACCGGCUAACUACGU